UGUUGCGUGUCAGUCGUCCGUGAAUAGCGCGGUGCUAGAAUACCUGCUUUGCAUAAGGUAUCGGACGCAGAUGUUGUGAAAUUUCGUAGUUUAAACAACGUGUAUUACAUACAUUUUCCAAAUCAGCCAGCCGUAUAUGGAUUAAGUUCAAAUACCCCUCACAUAUGGAUUGUAUUGCAUAUACGUAACGUGGUCCGUGCUGUAAGGUUUGCGGCUGUAUCUCUUCGUAUCAGUUGCAUCCAGCCAUUGGAGAUGUAAAGCUGUUGGCUGUGGUAUAAAUUUAAUUUACUAGAGUACUGGAUGAUAAAAGUUCAUUUAGAGGGGAUUUGGCUAAGUUAAAAAAAAAAAUAAAAUUAUUGUGCUAUGCUAAAAGUAUGGCCAAGCUAUGUCAUACCAUGGCCAUACCUUAGGUUAAAAGUUAUAUUUGAUUCAUUUUUACAGGUUGUGUUGCAUAGACACAUUGUGUUUCAUAAUGUAUGGUUCCAGUUGUAUCGAAUGCUAUUAGUCACAUUCGGACGCUUGAUAUGUAAUGUUGUUCGUUUUUGAUGAAAUUCACCCAGUAGAAAAUAUUGCAUUUUGGAGGCUCAACCAACUGGAUUUUGAUAACACUUACUCUGAAUAUGAAAUUGGGAAGGGAAGGGGAUAGUAAAAUUUCCAGAGUGGGGUCAUCCAUUGUUACAGACUAUAAUUUAUCAAGGUGUCAUGGAAAUAAAUACUGCCGUGUUCAGUGAGGUCUUAAAUGGGUGACAACUCAUAUAAUACAGGUAAACUUUUCCAAUUGAAAGAUUUCAAAAGAAAAGAUGUCGAAUUUGCUGUUUAAAUUCUGGUAUAAUGCGUUAAAGAAUGAGUCUCGCCUAAAUGAAGAAAAAAUAAGAAACAAAGAUGAGAAGAGCUGGAUCUUCAACAAAAGAUCUUAUGGCAAGCCUACAGAUUUGUUUCUCCAUCCACAAAUUGAAACUCUGUCAUCCAUUUAAAUCAAUGACACACUGAUGCAUGCUUGUUUCCUUGAGUACGGUGAGUCUGUGAAGAGACCAGUGAAUGCUGCUUUGUUCGAGGAAAGAGCAAGCACAAUAACUGGAAAAAAAACUACAGAGAGAUAGGAAAAGAGUACACAGUGAUUUACCUUGACAAGUUAUUCCAAAAAGAUCCACAGAUUUGAUCCGUUUUAGCUCAGCAAGCUGGGCUUCAACCACUUCUGCUUCAAUAUACAGAUGUAGCCAAAACGCUUCGGACAACCUAGCGUGACUGCAAAGAUCUGCGGGACCUUCACAAAAUCACAACCAAUAAAAAACGUCACCAAAUAAGAAGAUGCAUGUUGUGGUAACAACGAACAGCACCUAAUAGUUCCAGGAUACCGAAACGCUCUACUGUGUUUUCGACAUACAGCUUCGGUGAAGUUAGAAGGGGAAAACAUAUCAGUCAGCCAUAGCUAAAUUCCGUAAAUUCGAAAAUAGAAUAAUGCUUGCUGAAAUCGUUUCGCCGACCUCUACCAGAUGCCAGAGUAACCGCGUUUAGUUAAGAGCAGUAUCUCGAGCUGUUCUGGCCUUGCAUCGUGCGUUUUGUUUUGGUUACCUCUAGUAUGAUGGAAUUAUGUUAUGAUAUUUGAAGUUCUUUUUCUUACAGAAAGAUAAGAAGCAGUGGAAACAGUGAUCAGAAAUAUUUGAGUGCUGGCAAGCUCAUUUUUAAAGGAGAAAAAAUGAGGCAUAGAAGAAGAAACAUUGAUCAAUUUCCUGGAAAGUUGUAAUUUUAGUCUUUAUUCUUCUGUAUGAAUAUCUUCCAUCUCUCACAGUGGUUUUUUAUGCCAUGACAAUAUCACUCCAAAAGCAAUACCAUUUGUGGUGUGAUGGCAUUAGCACUCACUGUACACAUGGAUUUCAGAAGUUCUCCGGACCUUGCGUCAGCCGUAAAAGUUUUGGAGGUAUUGGUCAUUGGAGAUAAUGAGUUUUAAGAUAGUAUCAACAACAGUGCAAAGUAUGAAUCAGCAAGCUUACUGGUACCUUGAUGGCACAUCCUCUUUAAGUGAUAUUCUGUUGGUGAACCUUCUGCUGACUAGCGCACAAGCAAAUGAUCCUUUAUCCUUAUUCACCUCAUUACCUUGAAUAUUCUACCGGCCCUAUUGUUGGGCUAUUGGCACAUUUUUUUUUGAACCUGCCUGUUUACUGGAACUGGCAGGAUUUGCUGAUAUAUUUGAUUUCAUGGUAUUAUUCAUUAUCUAUUCGAAAUCACAUAUCGUUAAGCCAUUUCUGCUUCAGGCGAUGCGUUUCACACGCAUGAAUUGUCCAGUUGCGUUUAACAUCAGUCGAUUUAUGGGACUAUCGAUGAGAACAUUAGCGACAGUGAAUGUAAUUGCAGUCCGACAUUUGCUGCUGAUUCUUCGCGAGUCCCCAGUCAGUUGCCGUGGACUUGUGUCAGUUAUACUGAAGCCAGAUGUGGACAGACCACAAUCUCGUUUUGAAUAUUUUUGCCACGCUGCGUCUGUUACGUUUUUAACGUCCAUCCCUCGUUUCUUCAUCGAUGAACGAACAAUUGAUUUCAACAACGACAGCAAUUUUGAAGGAUCAGCAGCAGCAUGCGACUCGACAGCAAAAAGAGCCAAUUGCGAUCCAGCACUCGCAUCUUCAAACAGCAGACGAUGGUCAACUACACCAACGAACUAGAGAUUCGAUCGUACUGACGUGAUUCUGGCAAUGGCGGCCCCAAACAGGAUGACCCUUCCCCCGUCAGCAACAACUUCGCGCUCAGCAGGCGUUAAUUCGCCACAAGUCCAGCUCCAGCAGCAGCAGCAACAACAACAAUAAGCAAAUGGAAGUAUAGACCGACUCCUGAAAACCACCACCCCCACCAAUUUCCAAUCAGACUCUGGCUGAAGAUGCCGCUUGGACGCUCAACUGAUUGCCCAAUUCCGAACCAAAACGCAAGCCUCCCCGCUGCAUUUGACCCAUGGCAAACAACAACGUAUAGAGGGCUCCAGCAAGGAUACCACUCCGCUUCGUCGUGGAACCACACCUGCAUGAAGCCUCACCUGAGACGAGCUGAAAGGGCCCACAAAACAAGGGCGAAAGAAACGAAAGAAGAAAGUAGAAUGGUUUCUGAUACUGUUUACUAGGACGUUGUGAAAGCAACGCUGGAUGUGGCGGUAGCGAUCUCUGUCUGUGCAGCGACAACCAACAAAUUCAGGUGUAACGAGACCCCGCAGUCUUUCAAGACCAGCUAGAUCAAGCGAGGAAGAUCGUUGUUAGAACAGCAGUGACGUCAGUCGCUAAUCAUCUCGAUCUUAUGGCGACAGUCGCCAUUGAUAUCCCUCCAGCAACAGCAACAACAUCGUCGCCACCAGUUAAGGCUUUAAUUCACCACAUUUCAAUCACCUGCAUCCGAGUUUGAACCAAUUUGAUGACGCCGCUCAAUAUUCGCAUCCGCCGCCCAUCCACACGGCUCAAUUCCGAAAAAAAUUCAGAGACGGCUCUGCCAACUAAAAAUGUUUUCGCGUUAAAUGUCGAUUGCGACGUGCAUUUGUCUAUGUUUCGGUGGGCACUGUUCGGCUUUGAUAAAUAUGGCGGAUCUUGUUUUUCUGUUUGUUUUGUUCUUUUUUGUAGAAAAUUCCUAGUAGUUCGUCUGUGUCUUUUGUGUGUGGCAAAUACACUACUUGUUCUGAACUGAAA